rnacentral:rRNA from 1 species
AUUGAACGCUGGCGGCAGGCUUAACACAUGCAAGUCGAGCGAGCGGCGGACGGGUGAGUAAUGUCUGGGAACCUGCCUGGUGGAGGGGGAUAACUACUGGAAAGGGUAGCUAAUACCGCAUACCAUCAGAUGUGCCCAUAUGGGAUUAGCUAGUUGGUGGGGUAAUGGCUCACCAAGGCGACGAUCCCUAGCUGGUCUGAGAGGAUGACCAGCCACACUGGAACUGAGACACGGUCCAGACUCCUACGGGAGGCAGCAGUGGGGAAUUUUGCACAAUGGGCGCAAGCCUGAUGCAGCCAUGCCGCGUGUAUGAAGAAGGCCUUCGGGUUGUAAAGGACUUUUGGCGAGGAGGCGUUACUCGCAGAAUAAGCACCGGCUAACUCCGUGCCAGCAGCCGCGGUAAUUC